UACGUAGGGUCCGAGCGUUGUCCGGAAUUAUUGGGCGUAAAGGGCUCGUAGGCGGUCUGUUGCGUCGGGAGUGAGAACUUACAGCUUAACUGUGAGCGUGCUUCCGAUACGGGCAGACUUGAGGUAUUCAGGGGAGAACGGAAUUCCUGGUGUAGCGGUGAAAUGCGCAGAUAUCAGGAGGAACACCGGUGGCGAAGGCGGUUCUCUGGGAAUAUCCUGACGCUGAGGAGCGAAAGUGUGGGGAGCGAACAGG
rnacentral:rRNA from 1 species